rnacentral:rRNA from 1 species
AUUGAACGCUGGCGGCAUGCUUUACACAUGCAAGUCGAACGGCAGCGCGGGCUUCGGCCUGGCGGCGAGUGGCGAACGGGUGAGUAAUAUCUCGGAACGUACCCAAGAGUGGGGGCUAACGUAGCGAAAGUUACGCUAAUACCGCAUAAGAUCUAAGGAUGAAAGCAGGGGAGCGCAAGACCUUGUGCUCCUGGAGCGGCUGAGAUCUGAUCAGCUAGUUUGUGAGGUAAAGGCUCAACAAGGCAACGAUCAGCAGCUGGUCUGAGAGGACGACCAGCCACACUGGAAAUGAGACACGGUCCAGACUCCUACGGGAGGCAGAAGUGGGGAAUUUUGGACAAUGGGGGCAACCCUGAUCCAGCAAUGCCGCGUGAGUGAAGAAGGCCUUCGGGUUGUAAAGCUCUUUUGUCAGGGAAGAAAAGGCUGUGGCUAAUAUCCACAGCUGCUGACGGUACCUGAAGAAUAAGCACCGGCUAACUACGUGCCAGCAGCCGCAGUAAUAC